rnacentral:lncRNA from 1 species
GGAGGAUGCUCCUAUGGAACCCCAUUGUUGCCAUUCCCAGCUGGUCACCGGGGAAAGUCUUCUCCUUUCCCUCUCUCCCCCUUCAUUUAUUCGUAUUUUGCUCUACAGCUACCUUUAACCUUUAUGGUUACUGUAUGCCUUCAGCUAUGUACCCUGCAAAUGAAUCUUUGUGUAUGUGAACAUGGAUCUGCUGUAGCAUGGCAUCUAGAGCAUUUAGCAUCCAUGUGUCUGGGAGAUGAGCAGCCACCCAAGAGACAAGAUAAUGGAGCAGGAAGAGCAGCCUCCUCUGCCCAUUAGCUGAAUGUUCCCAAGGAGAAUGCAAGAUGCUCCCCAAAAGCAAUAAUUUCUAUUUGAAAGCCUCAUCUGUUACUUAAAAAAAAAAAAAAAAAAUCUAAUAAUGGUGGUGGCAAAGAGUUGAACUGAAUGGGAUUGCACGGCAGCGCUUUUAUCUACUAUCAGGAGGAAAGAGUCUGUAGCAUGGUGUGAAAACCAGUGGAUGUGUCUUCUUAAGAAGAAGAAAGAAACAUUUUACCAAAAUGUGUUAGAAGAUUCUCUCUUGAUUGGGCUGCUGGUUGCCAAGGAGAAAGAAUUGAUCAUUCAGAGCAAGAUGAGAAGAGGAGCUGUCAGGAAAGAAGACAUCUGGAGCUGACUAGUGCAUGGUUUUGUCUUCUUAGCCCAGUGACACUGAAUCAUUUGCUUCACUGUUUUAAACAGAAUAAACAUCUGAAAAUAUCUGAUUUCCAUUUAAAUUAAAAAAAAAAAAAAACAUGUAGCCUCUUCUUUUUUCUUCUUCUUCUUAGCAAUGAAGCUAAACAAGACAAUAUUACUUCCAUGCUUGGUUCAAUGUGUGAUCACUUUUAGUCAGUACUAGUGGGUCAUUAAAUCACCGCUUGCAGGUACAUGGCAUGUAAUUCAUACAGAAGGAAUCAAUAAUGACAUUAAAAAAAAAAAAAUCUAAGGAAGAUUCUUGAGACAAUACUGUAAAAAAUGUGCUAUUCAGGUACAUUUUUAAUAGCAACAACAUGCUCUGGCUUCUGGCAGCCAGACAGACAACAAGAUUAACUUCUUGUGCUUGAUCAAAAAAGUGAAAAAAUGUCCUAGUUCAGGACUUUAAUGUUAAGCUUGUUUGGUAAAUGGCAUUCAGGAGGAAAAUAAUUUUAUAAAAGAAAAACAGAUAUUUUAAUUGUCGGCAGAGCAACAACAGGAAAAAAAGGAAGUUUUUUUAAAUGAUCUAACAAGCUCAGUCCCACUG